GUAUUUUAGCGCCUUCUCUUUAUUUCCAUACAAGGAGCGUGAGCUGUUGUCUAUCGUUGAUUGGCAAGGCUCGUAAAGACAGAAGCCUAGCAACAGUCAUCUAAUUGGUUCCUGCAGAAAAAUACCCAUCUGGCUUAAUAAGAGCAGGUUUGCUUAAGAGAGCAUAAAUAUGGUAUCAAAGAAGACUGAGGCAAGUCCUGCCACAGAGUUUUUGCCUUUUGUGAAUGGGGGAUUUGUUGUCUUCAUUAUCCAAGUAGCAGCUCUGGGGAAGAGACAACAGAAAUAAAAGAAGGACCAGAAGGAGACACCAUGAGGAAGAUUGAGAUAAUUUCUGUUCUGCUAUGGCUACUGCAUGGCUCAAAGAGCAAGCCACUCACUGAAAGAGACCAUAAUCCAGCAGUGUCUGACUAUAUUAAAGACCAUAAUCCAGCAUUGUAUGACUGUAUUAAAGAUACUGGCUGUGAACUCUUUGUUAAGGCCUAAAACUGUUGCUUGGGACCUUAAUUGAACUUUUAUGUUUUGUGUAAUAAACACUAUUUAUUUAUU